GAUGAACGCUGGCGGUAUGCUUAACACAUGCAAGUCGAACGGACUCUUCGGAGUUAGUGGCGGACGGGUGAGUAACGCGUGAGAAUCUGGCUUUGGGUUCGGGACAACCACUGGAAACGGUGGCUAAUACCGGAUGUGCCGAGAGGUAAAAGAGAAAUCGCCUGAAGCUGAGCUCGCGUCUGAUUAGCGAGUUGGUGAGGUAAAGGCUCACCAAGGCAGCGAUCAGUAGCUGGUCGGAGAGGAUGACCAGCCACACUGGGACUGAGACACGGCCCACACUCCUCCGAGCCGCAGCAGUGGGGAAUUUUCCGCAUUGCGCGAAAGCCUGACGGAGCAAUACCGCGUGGGGGAAGAAGGUUCUUGGGUUAUACACCUCUUUUCUUAGGGAAGGACAAAAUGACGGUACCUGAUGAAUCAGCUCCGGCUAACUCCGUG
rnacentral:rRNA from 1 species